AAUUCCUAGCCUUUUUUUUUGCAAAAAACACUAGUCGCCCGCUUAGGCCAUUUUGACCAUGAUUAUGGCAGGCGGGUCCCACUGAACAGUGUGACGUGGCAUAACAUAACAGAUCAUAAAUAGACAGAAAGGGAUAGACUAAACUGUAAAAGGCCAAAGAGGAUAAGGUGGUGCUGUUAAAAAAAAAAGAGAGGAUAAGGUGUGAGUCGUCCUUCCUCUCCCCAGCGCCCAGCCGUGCGCACGAGUUCUCGGCCGGCGAGUUCGCAAUGGACGACGGCUCCAGGACGCUCCUCCCCCUCCUCUCUCCCACGCCUCCAGCUUCCUCCCGCUCCCUGGACUCGACCUCUUGCGCCCCGGCCUCGGCCUCCCCUUGCUGCUCACCUACAUCGGCGCCGGCGAGGUGAAGAGGAGGCGCGACGGCGGCCCGCGUAGGCGUGGUGAGGGAGGGCGCCUCGCCGCGGCCGCAGCUGCGCGUCGACGAGCCAAAUCCACAAACUGUGGGCAUGGAGGAACCACGCCGUCAAGCUCAUCCAGGGCCGCCCGAUGCUCAAGCCGCCGCCUCCGGAGCUCCAUUGCUCCGCCGUUCUAACCGACAACGCCGCCGUAUCCACGCCAUUCUGCAGCCCGUCCUCGACCACGCCGGAGCUCCCCUAUGCCCCGCCGCCAGAGCAAUCAGCAGCUGCGGCGACACGCACGGGGAGGGAGUGCCCGCCGUCGUCCACCAUCGGAUCGGGGGAAGAUGAAGUGACCAAGGACCCGAUUGCUUAUUAUUCAGGGGCCCUUUUGCAAAAUAAGUUGUAUCGGGAUGUAAUUGCUUUUUUUCUUUGCCAUGUCAUCCUGUUCAGCGGGACCCACCUGUCAUAAUUGUACUCAAAACGGCCUAAAUGGGUGACUAGUGUUUUUUGCAAAAAAUAGUCUCGGAAUUUGUGUUUUUUGGCACAAAACCGUAGAAAUAUGAUUUCUGCAACCUUAGCCUUCAA